CGCCUUCAAAAAUUAGAGCUUUUCGCCUAUCUUCCAGCCGUCGGCGCAAGCCGGCUAUGGCGAUAAAGGACGCGUGCAAUAAGCGGAUCGGACCCGGGGGCGGUACCCGGCGGCUCCACCCAAGCCCGUGAGGAAGGCGGGUUUCGGCGGGGCCGAACUAGGAUCGACGGACGUGUAAAGACGACGUUUUCGCCCGGAUGGUCUCCGUUAUUGGACCAAAUCUGAUAGUUGCCAACGACAACUACUCGGAAGAGUUCGCUCUCGCUGCGUAACGCAGCUGAACGGCUCAAAGCCUUCAAGUCCUGAUCCUUUCCACGGAUCAGGCGGGGCCCCCCGGCGCCUGGCAACAGAAGCCGGGGACU
rnacentral:tmRNA from 1 species